AAAAAGAAUAAUCUUACUUUGAGUUAAGGUGCAAGCAACGUGAGGAUGCAAGCGUUAUCCGAAAUGAUUGGGCAUAAAACGUCUGUAGGUGGCUUUUUACAUCUGCCGUCAAAUCCCAGGGCUCAACCCUAGACAGGCGGUGGAAACUAUCAAGCUGGAGUACGGUAGGGGCAGAGGGAAUUUUCGGUGGAGCAGUGAAAUGCGUAGAGAUUGGAAAGAACACCAACGACGAAAGCACACUGCUGGGCCGACACUAACACUAAGAGACAAAAGCUAGGGGAGCGAAUGAGAUUAGAUACCCCAAUAGUCCUAGAGACAUAAGAGUUUUUUUUUUUUUGGUCUCCCAAGGUAUUCACUAAAGUGAGUCCAAUAAUCAAUUCUCACAUUU
rnacentral:ncRNA from 1 species